rnacentral:lncRNA from 1 species
GUUUCUGUGCCUCGUCCCCUAACCCUCACAAGUGCCCAGAGAGGCAGGUGACAAAAUGGAAACCCCAGAGAGGCUCGGUCCCUGGACAGAGUCACAGGGCUAGUGACUCUGGGCAGCAUUUGCUGCUGUGCAUUGAAAACAGGUGCGCUGCUAGCAUUUUAAAACGAUAGCUCAUCAAGCCAUUCUCAGAGUGUAGAAAGUGUUCUUACCUCUGCUUUUCCAUGUUUAUGCAGAUCCCGGAGUGUGUCACCCUCUUUCCCAGAGGCAUCCCUUAGCUGAGCCUCAAAAGCAAGGGCGACCUGGACAUCCCUGAAUGCAGUUUUGGCGGGAAAAUUGUGGAGUAACAGCGCCCUCGCGUGGUCAUUUGCAUUUUUUCAUGAGGCCUUUUGGCCCCUAGAAGGAGCAACCUGAAUCGAUGCCAACCUUCCACUGGGCUCCCCUGUUGGUGUGGGGGGUGUGCCCUGCUGGCUGCUCCAAAGCUUUCCACUGGGCUUUGCAGGCUCCGCGAUAAGGCAUGUGGCACUGGAAAGAAACAGAACCUGCAGACCCUUCAGAGGCUCGGCCUUCUCCUCGGCGGACUGGGCUGCUGGGCAGAGGUGUAGGAGACCCUGGCUGCUCCUCCGUGCUGCUGUCACAUUCCCAGUAACCCUCCCCCGUCCUCCACUGGGUACCCACCUCCCAUGCUUUAGGACUCGCUUCUCUCUCUCCUCCUGCCCUGUGAAUCCCUCCAGGGCAAAACCCCUGUUCUGCUCUUGCGAUCUAGUCCAGCCAGCUCCUGACUUCUGCAGGAGCUCAGAAUGAAGCUCCGGGAGGUACCACAGCUUCGUGUCUGAAACGGUGCCUGGCUCGUGGGAAGUGUUCAUG